rnacentral:rRNA from 1 species
GUGGGGAAUAUUGGGCAAUGGGGGAAACCCUGACCCAGCAACGCCGCGUGAAGGAAGAAGGUUUUCGGAUCGUAAACUUCUAUCCUUGGUGAAGAUAAUGACGGUAGCCGAGAAGGAAGCCCCGGCUACCUACGUGCCAGCAGCCGCGGUAAUACGUAGGGGGCAAGCGUUGUCCGGAAUGAUUGGGCGUAAAGGGCGCGUAGGCGGCCUGGUAAGUCUGGAGUGAAAGUCCUGCUUUUAAGGUGGGAAUUGGUUUGGAUACUGUAGGGCUUGAGUGCAGGAGAGGUAAGUGGAAUUCCCGGUGUAGCGGUGAAAUGCGUAGAGAUCGGGAGGAACACCAGUGGCGAAGGCGACUUACUGGACUGUAACUGACGCUGAGGCGCGAAAGUGUGGGGAGCAAACAGGAUUAGAUACCCGAGUAGUCC